rnacentral:rRNA from 1 species
AGGCCCUUGAAAAAUUUAAGUCUAAUCUGCCCACUGAAUUUUAAAGGGCCGCAGUAUUUUGACUGUGCAAAGGUAGCAUAAUAAUUAGUUUUUUAAUUGAAAGCUGGAAUGAAUGAUUGAACGAGAAAAAUUCUGUCUCAAUUUUAAUUUUUUUGAAUUUUAUAUUUAAGUUAAAAAGCUUAAAUAAUUUUAAAAGACGAGAAGACCCUAUAGAGUUUUAUAUUAUAAAUUUAUAAAAUUUAUAGAAUUUUUAUUUUUAUCAAAUUAAUUAAUAUUUUAUUGGGGUGAUGGAAAAAUUUAUAAAACUUUUUUUUUAAAUAAACAUUUAUUUAUGAUUUAUUGAUCCAUUAUUUAUGAUUAAAAGAUUAAAUUACCUUAGGGAUAACAGCGUAAUUUUUUUUAAGAGUUCUUAUCAAAAAAAAAGAUUGCGACCUCGAUGUUGGAUUAAAAUUAAUUUUUGGUGUAGAAGCUAAAAAUAUUAGGUCUGUUCGACCUUUAAAAUUUUACAUGAUC